CACCAGCUGCUCAUUUGAAUUAAUUUGAACCUUGGUGUCAUUUAACUAUGAACUAGGAAGGUGGAUAUUUUUACAGGACAAUUUUGUCAGUGCUUGGAUCAGUUUGAUCAAUGUUGUUAUAGUGCUAUCUGUAAGUUUUGCUAUCUAGCUGAUGUUAGCAUCAACAGCUGUUUACCUACCAAGAGCUUCUGCCAUGGUUGUGUUUACGAGACAAGAGGUUAGAGCACUUCCUCGGGGCAGCACUACUUCUUCAUUCUUUCGUAUUGGACUGGAUACAGACUGGAUGGUAUUGCUAAGUGAUACGACGAGACAGGACAGAGCUAACUGGUUGGCACGAUAGCUUCAGUAGAAGAAAAGUGAUAUUUAACAUUGGCGUCGCUUUCCACUGUUGGAGGCAGCUCUUGCUGCAAUACUUCUAGCAACAGAAGCACCCCCUGGAAUACAGGUCCCCCAACAGUUUGAGGAGAUCACUGCUGCUGCUGCCUUUGCUGUUGCCGCCGCCACUACCGCUGUUACUCCACAUCCAGACCCCCCC